CUGUGCCUACAGAGACAUGAGGCUGAGCUGGAUCCUGACAGUACUGUCCAUUUGCCUGAGUGCCCUGGUCACAGCCACAGGGGCCGAAGGCAAGCGGAAGCUGCAGAUUGGAGUGAAGAAACGUGUGGAUCACUGUCCCAUCAAGUCUAGAAAGGGAGAUGUCUUACACAUGCAUUACACGGAUGUGUGAAGGGGAAAAGCGGAAGCUAGUGAUCCCGUCUGAGCUGGGGUAUGGAGAGCGGGGAGCCCCCCCAAAGAUACCAGGUGGAGCAACCCUGGUGUUUGAGGUGGAACUGCUCAAGAUUGAGAGACGUUCAGAACUGUAGCAGGCUGCAGAGGGGUAGGAGGCCCCUAUCAGGGACCAGACUGUUUAAAAACAAACAAAAAAACCUUUAAAACCCC
rnacentral:lncRNA from 1 species